UAUUAUAGGUGUGUGCCACCACGCCCAGCCAUGUUGUUUUUAUUUUCAAUAAAGGUGCUGCUAUGUAGUGAUUUAGCUGCUGUCUUUUGCAGAUUUAGCCUAAAAGCAAAAAAAGUAUUUUCCUGAAAAUGUACAAAUAUGUUCCCGUAUACAAAGACCUGACUUGAUAGGAAAACAUUGCUUAAUCAUGACAUUUUGUACUGUUUUCUCCUUCUGGUCUUUUGUUAUUUCUGUGGGAGGACACAGCCAUGGAGAUGAGAGGAGGAACAAAUUGGUAGGUUCUAAGAGAUCUGGCUUACUUAGAAUGAAAACAGACUCAACAUGACUGCUAUAAGGUACUUAAGCCAGAGUUACUUGUCACAGAGUUAUCUUUGUCUUGAAGAGAAACCUUCCCAGAGUGUUUGGUUUUGAACUUUGGUAGAACAUGUGUGAUUGUUCCUUUUAGAAAAACAUCCAAAUUCUAGUAAUCCUGCUUUUUUACCUUCAUGAUCUGGUUGGGACCACCAUGGUUUUUAAACAUCCCACCCUACCCUGUGAAAGAAGAAAACAUUUUAAAGAAUUACAGAGGCAAAGCCAUAUGUAAAAGUCUCUUAUUAUUGUGCUCUUUAUUGUUGGGCUAUUCUUUGUGAUUUCAGAGCCAUAGUGCUAUCAUUCUAAUCAGAGUUAACUGUGCUAUUGUUAUCUAAGGUUCAAAAGUAUUUGGAAGCAAGUCAAGUUCAGACAGCUUAGAAUUGGUGGGAAGAAGAUGGUGAUAUAACAGAAACAAUAAGGAAGCUGGACGCAAACAAGAGACAUGAACAUAUAUGCAUUAAUAUUUAUUUUUGAAGAAUACACAUGAAACUGCUUAGUGGUUAUUGCUACGGAGCAAGAGGGAUAUGUACAUUGGGACAAUGCCCCUAUCUAGACACUGAGGAAUCCAUACUUUCUCCAUCUUGUACCAUAACCUUAUCAUGUGGUUUCUAAGGUAUUACAGCAGGAAAAAGAAGGAUGGAGGAUGCAGGAACAGCUUCUGAUUAUUCUGCCUUUCUGGAAGUGACAUGUAUCACUUUUACUCAUGAUUCAUUGGCCAGAAAUGAUCAUAUGGGACCAGCAUAAUCAUCAGGAAGGUAGGAAACUUAAGGAAGUAGGUGAAACAUUCUGAUGAUCACCAAUUGUCUAUGCUAGAGUUAGUGAUGAAGUAACAUUUUUCUAAGUUGUCUCACCAUCCUUUUUAAUAUAAUUUAAAAGUUAUAGUAAAGUUUAAAUAAUAGCACUCAUAUCCGCCAAACCCAAACUUGACAAAUGUUAAGAUUUUUCAUAUUUGUCUCUAUUUUUUAUAAUACGGUGAACUGAAAUAUGGUGGUGCCUCAGUUCGCAAACUUUAUUCUUUCCACGAUUCUUGUUGCAAACCAGAUUGGGUAAGGACUGAAUCAAAUUCAAUGGUUAGGUUCAGUACUGACCUUCUGUAGGGGAAAAUUUGAUUCAGAAAGAAUUAAAUUCAUGAACCAAGGUGCUACUGUAUAUUCACAUAACAUACAAUUUAUCCUUUCAAGAGCAAUUAUGUAGAAUUUAGUAUAUUUAUACAGUUAUGUGACCAUUACCAACAUCAUGUUAGAUCGUUUUCAUGGCCUUCAAAAGAGGAACAGUUACUCUCUGCUCUCUGUUGACACCCAAGCCCUGGCAGCAACUAAUCAACUUUCUGUUUCUGUGUUUGCCUCUUCUGGAAUUUCAUAUUUCCUUAUAUUAUAAUAUUUGAUGUUACAAUAUGUAGGCAGUUGUGACUGGAUUCUUUCAUUAAACACAGUGUUUUUAAGGUUCAUCAGUAGUUAUAUAUACCAGUACUUUGCCAUUUUAAUUUAUGAAUAAUAUUCUAUUUUAUGGAUGUUCCAUAUUUUGUCUCUAUCUGUUGAUGGACAGUUGAGCCAUUUUUUGGCUAUCAUGGAUAAUUUUCCUAUAAACAUUUGUUUAUGCAUUUUUGUUUAAACAUAUUUCCAAUUUUUGUGGGUAUAUAAUACUUUAUGUUUAAUAUUUUGAGAAACUGCUAAACUGUUUUCCAUACAGUGUAUUCUGCUGGUGUUGAAUGGAACGUUCUGUAGAUACGUUAGGUGUAGUUAGUUUGUGUUGUUAUUCAGAUCUUCUAUUUCCUUAUGAUCUCCUGAGUAGUUAUUCUACUAUUUGAAAUGAGGUAUUGAACAAUUGUUAUUGAUGGAUUUUCUAUUUCUUCCUUCAAUUUUGUCAGUUUUGCUUCAUGCAUAUUGGUAUUCUGCUGUAUAAUGCAUGUGUAUCUAUAAUUGUUAGGUCUUUCUGAUAAAUUGCCUGUUUUUAUCAAAAAGUUCUUUUCUCUUUAUCUAGUAAUAAGUUUUGCUUUUAAGUUUAUUUUGUCUGAUAUCAGUAUAGCUACUUUGCUUUUCUGUUUUAAAGUGGUAGGUAUUAAACUCAGUGUCUUGUCCUUGCUAGGUAAGUAUUCUUCCACUGAGGAGCUCAGAGGCCCACUCUUACUCUUUUGCUUACUGCUUGGAUGGAAUAUCUUCUAACCUUUGACUUUAAACCUAUUUUUAAUGUAAUUUAAAUAAUUUAAACUUUAAAGUGUGUUUAUUAAAUAAGUGUAAUUUAUACAUUGAAAUCUUUGCCUUUCUAGGAUUUAGUAUAACUUGUGAGGUGGGAAUUUGACCCCACCUCUGGAAUGUACAUCAUCCUAAGUACAAACUGAAUAACCCAGCAUUUCUGCACUGAUUUGAAAAGCUAAUUUUACUUUAGGUCAUAUCUGGAGGCUUCAUUCUAUUAAGAUUUAUUUAAAUGGAUUUAUUAGCAUUGCUUUCUAUUUUAUUGGUUUAUGUAUUUCCCCUAUAUUGCUCUCCUUUGCCAAAAUUUUCCUGUUUGUGCCAGGCGUGGUGGCACAUGCCUGUAAUCCCAGCACUUAGGAAGCUGAGGCAGGAGGAU